rnacentral:rRNA from 1 species
CAAGAGCGUAUAUUAAAGUUGUUGCAGUUAAAAAGCUCGUAGUUGGAUUUCUGGUACAACGCGCCUGGCCCGCUUAUGUGAGUGCCGGUGCGCGUUUGCCAUCCUUCUAGAAAACGUUUCUACCCGGGCAACUGGGCCGGACUCGCGAUCUAGAUCUUUACUUUGAAAAAAUUAGAGUGUUUUAAAGCAGGCUUUUGCUGUGAAUACAUUAGCAUGGAAUAAUAAUCUAGGACUUCGGUUCUAUUUUGUCGGUUUCUAGUACUGAAGUAAUGAUUGAUAGGGAUAGUUGGGGGCAUUCAUAUUCCAUUGUCAGAGGUGAAAUUCUUGGAUUAACGGAAGAUGAACUUCUGCGAAAGCAUCUGCCAAGGAUGUUUUCAUUGAUCAAGAACGAAAGUUAGGGGAUCGAAGAUGAUCAGAU